AUUGAACGCUGGCGGCAGGCCUAACACAUGCAAGUCGAACGAGUGGCGGACGGGUGAGUAAUGUCUGGGAAACUGCCCGAUGGAGGGGGAUAACUACUGGAAACAGUAGCUAAUACCGCAUACCAUCGGAUGUGCCCAGAUUGGAUUAGAUCGUAGUGGGGGUAACGGCUCACCUAGGCGACGAGCCCUAGCUGGUCUGAGAGGAUGACCAGCCACACGGGAGAUGAGACACGGGCCAGACUCCUACGGGAGGCAGCAGUGGGAAAUAUUGCACAAGGGGCGCAAGCGUGAUGCAGCCAUGCCGCGUGUAUGAAGAAGGCCUUCGGGGUGUAAAGUACUUUCAGCGAGGAGGCGUUACUCGCAGAAGAAGCACCGGCUAACUCCGUGCCAGCAGCCGCGGUAAUAC
rnacentral:rRNA from 1 species